rnacentral:sRNA from 18 species
GCAGCCGCAAAAUCGGUUGCCGGGUUUCGCAGCUCGAACAUCACGGAAGCGCACGACCGCGCCAGCGGUUUUUUU